GGCUCCAUGCCUGGUGGCGGGCCCUCAGCCACCCGUCAGGGGGCAGGGGUUGAGGGUCGCUGAGGCAGGAACCUGGGGGGAAAGAUGCCAAGGGACUUGCCCAAGGUCGCCCGGCCCAUUCCUGAUGGAAUCUAGACUGGAGCCUGGGACCUGCUGAGUAACUGGGAAACAGGAGAACCCCCAGAUCCAAGCGUUAUGUUUCAGGCCUCUGCCCAGCCUCUUCCAGAAGGAUCACCGGGAUCACCCUGGGAUGGGUUAAGGCAGCCCACAAGUCCAGCUGCCAGGUGUGCAAACCAGGAAGAGAAUUCUCCCUAGGAACCUGAUUGGCUUGCACCUUGGUUUUGGACUUCUCAGCCUCCAAACCCGAGAAAUAAAUGUCUGGUGCUUUAGGCCA